GACGAACGCUGGCGGCGUGCCUAAUACAUGCAAGUCGAGCGGAUGGAAGGAAGCUUGCGUCCUAAAGUCAGCGGCGGACGGGUGAGUAAGACGUCGUCAACCUGCGCCUCAGAUCGGGAUAACUUCGGGAAACCGGAGCUAAUGCCGGAUAUGAUUAUUUCGCACACGAGAGAUAAUGGAAAGUCGGUUUCGGCUGUCACUUAGGGAUGGCCCCGCGGCGCAUUAGCUAGUUGGUGAGGUAACGGCUCACCAAGGCGACGAUGCGUAGCCGACCUGAGAGGGUGAUCGGCCACACUGGGACUGAGACACGGCCCAGACUCCUACGGGAGGCAGCAGUAGGGAAUCUUCCGCAAUGGACGAAAGUCUGACGGAGCAACGCCGCGUGAGUGAAGAAGGUUUUCGGAUCGUAAAACUCUGUUGUUAGGGAAGAACAAGUACCAUAGUAACUGAUGGUACCUUGACGGUACCUAACCAGAAAGCCACGGCUAACUACGUGCCAGCCGCCGCCGUAA
rnacentral:rRNA from 1 species